CGGGUUGCUUGCACCGCCGACGACCGGCGCACGGGUGCGUAACGCGUAUACAAUCUACCUUGUAGAGGGGAAUAGCCCAGAGAAAUUUGGAUUAAUGCCCCAUAGUAUUAUGAAAUAGCAUUAUUUUAUAAUUAAACAUUUAUGGCUACAAGAUGAGUAUGCGUUCUAUUAGUUAGUAGGUAAGGUAACGGCUUACCUAGACUUCGAUAGAUAGGGGUCCUGAGAGGGAGAUCCCCCACACUGGUACUGAGACACGGACCAGACUCCUACGGGAGGCAGCAGUGAGGAAUAUUGGACAAUGGGCGAGAGCCUGAUCCAGCCAUGCCGCGUGCAGGAAGACGGCCCUAUGGGUUGUAAACUGCUUUUAUAGAGGAAGAAACACUCCCACGUGUGGGAGCUUGACGGUACUCUACGAAUAAGGAUCGGCUAACUCCGUGCCAGCAGCCGCGGUAAUACGGAGGAUCCAAGCGUUAUCCGGAAUCAUUGGGUUUAAAGGGUCCGUAGGCGGGACAAUCAGUCAGCGGUGAAAGUCUGUGGCUCAACCAUAGAAUUGCCAUUGAUACUGUUGUUCUUGAAUACUUAUGAAGUGGUUGGAAUAUGUAGUGUAGCGGUGAAAUGCAUAGAUAUUACAUAGAACACCGAUUGCGAAGGCAGAUCACUAAUAAGUCAUUGACGCUGAUGGACGAAAGCGUAGGUAGCGAACAGGAUUAGAUACCCUGGUAGUCUACGCCGUAA
rnacentral:rRNA from 1 species